rnacentral:snRNA from 1 species
AUACUUACCUGGCAGGGGAGACACCAUGAUCACGAAGGUGGUUUUCCCAGGGCGAGGCUUAUCUAUUGCACUCCGGAUGUGCUGACCCCUGCGAUUUCCCCAAAUGUGGGAAACUCGACUGCAUAAUUUGUGGUAGUGGGGGACUGCGUUCGCGCUUUCCCCUG